rnacentral:rRNA from 1 species
CCUACGGGAGGCAGCAGUGGGGAAUAUUGGACAAUGGGCGAAAGCCUGAUCCAGCAAUGCCGCGUGUGUGAAGAAGGCCUUCGGGUUGUAAAGCACUUUCAGUGGGGAAGAAAGCCUUGGGGCUAAUACCCUCGAGGAAGGACAUCACCCACAGAAGAAGCACCGGCUAACUCCGUGCCAGCAGCCGCGGUAAUACGGAGGGUGCGAGCGUUAAUCGGAAUUACUGGGCGUAAAGCGCGCGUAGGCGGUCUGAUAAGCCGGUUGUGAAAGCCCCGGGCUCAACCUGGGAACGGCAUCCGGAACUGUCAGGCUAGAGUGCAGGAGAGGAAGGUAGAAUUCCCGGUGUAGCGGUGAAAUGCGUAGAGAUCGGGAGGAAUACCAGUGGCGAAGGCGGCCUUCUGGACUGACACUGACGCUGAGGUGCGAAAGCGUGGGUAGCAAACAGGAUUAGAUACCCUGGUAGUC